UGUAGUGUCCUGGGCAGCGUAAUGAAGUAGAUUGCGGUUUUUACAUGUUGAGGUUUAUAAAAGAAAUUCUUCUUAUGGAUCGAAUAGAGAUUCCAUCCAAGUACUUUGAUGAAUUCAAGUGUGCUUAUUACUCAAGUUCCCAGUUGGAUGAACUUAAGGAGGAUUGGUGUAAAUUCAUGAUUGAGUCGAAAGUUAUAUAAGGUUAUAUGUGCAGAUGUAGAAGAUAAAG